GACAGUGGACACUUUGAUGUCUUGCAGAACCAAAAUAAAAUUCAGAUAUCAAAAGGACAGCCAGGAUUUACGUUGGCAAUGGAGAAAGGCGGAGUUUCAAUCUGCAAACAAGGCGAUGAAGACGGUGGAUGGUCGGACGUAUCACAAAAGAAAAAGGAAAAUAAAAUUGCAAGAGGACGACCAGGAUCUAUGUUGACCACAAG